GAAUAUUGGACAAUGGGGGCAACCCUGAUCCAGCCAUGCCGCGUGUGUGAAGAAGGUCUUCGGAUUGUAAAGCACUUUAAGUUGGGAGGAAGGGCUUUAGGUUAAUACCCUGAAGUUUUGACGUUACCAACAGAAUAAGCACCGGCUAACUCUGUGCCAGCAGCCGCGGUAAUACAGAGGGUGCAAGCGUUAAUCGGAAUUACUGGGCGUAAAGCGCGCGUAGGUGGCUUGAUAAGUCAGAUGUGAAAGCCCCGGGCUUAACCUGGGAACUGCUUUCAUAACUGCUGAGCUAGAGUACGGUAGAGGGUAGUGGAAUUUCCUGUGUAGCGGUAAAAUGCGUAGAUAUAGGAAGGAACACCAGUGGCGAAGGCGACCACCUGGGCUAAUACUGACACUGAGGUGCGAAAGCGUGGGGAGCAAAC
rnacentral:rRNA from 1 species